AGCGAACGCUGGCGGCAGGCCUAACACAUGCAAGUCGAACGAACUCUUCGGAGUUAGUGGCGGACGGGUGAGUAACACGUGGGAACGUGCCUUUUGGUUCGGAAUAACUCAGGGAAACUUGUGCUAAUACCGAAUGUGCCCUUCGGGGGAAAGAUUUAUCGCCAUUAGAGCGGCCCGCGUCUGAUUAGCUAGUUGGUGAGGUAACGGCGCACCAAGGCGACGAUCAGUAGCUGGUCUGAGAGGAUGACCAGCCACACUGGGACUGAGACACGGCCCAGACUCCUACGGGAGGCAGCAGUGGGGAAUCUUGCGCAAUGGGCGAAAGCCUGACGCAGCCAUGCCGCGUGAAUGAUGAAGGUCUUAGGAUUGUAAAAUUCUUUCACCGGGGACGAUAAUGACGGUACCCGGAGAAGAAGCCCCGGCUAACUUCGUG
rnacentral:rRNA from 1 species